rnacentral:tRNA from 1 species
GGCGAGAUGGCCGAGCGGUCCAAGGCGCUGGUUUUAGGCACCAGUCUUUUCGGGGGCGUGGGUUCGAAUCCUACUCUCGUCA